ensembl:snoRNA
GCACCCCCUGUCACUUUGCCAAAGGACUUAAAUCUUUAUUAGUCAUUCAAGUGGAACAAAAGAAACAUCCUUUUCAAACUCAGGCAAGUUCAAUGUUUGUCUUGUAAACUUUCAGGGAAAAUACAU